UACGUAGGUGGCAAGCGUUGUCCGGAUUUAUUGGGCGUAAAGCGAGCGCAGGCGGUUCCUUAAGUCUGAUGUGAAAGCCCACGGCUCAACCGUGGAAGGUCAUUGGAAACUGGGGAACUUGAGUGCAGAAGAGGAGAGUGGAAUUCCAUGUGUAGCGGUGAAAUGCGUAGAUAUAUGGAGGAACACCAGUGGCGAAGGCGACUCUCUGGUCUGUAACUGACGCUGAGGCUCGAAAGCGUGGGGAGCAAACAGGAUUAGAA
rnacentral:rRNA from 1 species